GAUGAACGCUGACAGAAUGCUUAACACAUGCAAGUCUUUGGCGAAGCUGUGCUUGCACUGCCUAGCCAAGGCGGACGGGUGAGUAACGCGUAAGGAACUUGCCCUGCAGUCAGGGAUAACAGACGGAAACGACUGAUAAGACCUGGUAAAGUCAGGCGGACUCAUGUCCAGCCUGAUGAAAAGAGAUGCUGCAGGAGAGCCUUGCGUCCUAUUAGCUUGUUGGUGGGGUAACGGCCCACCAAGGCGAUGAUAGGUAGCCGGCCUGAGAGGGUGGACGGCCACAAGGGGACUGAGAUACGGCCCUUACUCCUACGGGAGGCAGCAGUGGGGAAUAUUGGACAAUGGGGGCAACCCUGAUCCAGCAAUUCUGUGUGCACGAUGAAGGUUUUCGGAUUGUAAAGUGCUUUCAGCAGGGAAGAAAAAAUGACGGUACCUGCAGAAGAAGCGACGGCUAAAUACGUG
rnacentral:rRNA from 1 species